AUUGAACGCUGGCGGCAGGCCUAACACAUGCAAGUCGAGCGGAUGAAGGGAGCUUGCUCCUGGAUUCAGCGGCGGACAGGUGAGUAAUGCCUAGGAAUCUGCCUGGUAGUGGGGGAUAACGUCCGGAAACGGGCGCUAAUACCGCAUACGUCCUGAGGGAGAAAGUGGGGGAUCUUCGGACCUCACGCUAUCAGAUGAGCCUAGGUCGGAUUAGCUAGUUGGUGGGGUAAAGGCCUACCAAGGCGACGAUCCGUAACUGGUCUGAGAGGAUGAUCAGUCACACUGGAACUGAGACACGGUCCAGACUCCUACGGGAGGCAGCAGUGGGGAAUAUUGGACAAAGGGCGAAAGCCUGACCCAGCCAUGCCGCGUGUGUGAAGAAGGUCUUCGGAUUGUAAAGCACUUUAAGUUGGGAGGAAGGGCAGUAAGUUAAUACCUUGCUGUUUUGACGUUACCAACAGAAUAAGCACCGGCUAACUUCGUG
rnacentral:rRNA from 1 species